rnacentral:rRNA from 1 species
UUUAGGGGUAACCUGAGAAACCCGAAAGGUCGAAGGGAGAAAUUCAUUCGCGUUUCGCGGUAGGCGUUUGGCGGUCGCGUGACGAAAAACGCGCGUACGUUUCGGCGUACGUGUUCGUUUUUUCGCUCCAUCCGUCAUUCGAUCCGAUCGUGAACGCGUGCACUUUUCUCUCGGUAGGACGUCGCGAUCCGUUGGGUGUCGGUCUAAGGUUCGCGGUGGAGCCCGCAAAUAUACGUUUCACGACGCUAUUUGUGGACCCGCGUCUUUUCCCGACCGACUCGCUCGACGGUAUACGAUAGGUUUAAGGCCGCUCGAUACUUACACGAGCGUUCGACUCGUCGCAAGCGCGUCAGAUGUUUGUCGGCGAUCGGACCAGGUGCCGGUUCCGACCUCUGAUGACUGUUGGCGACGAAGUUCUCGAACGGACCUUAAUUUUCUUCACGGAAAAUUUUCAAAAACCGAUCUGCGACGCUAUAGCUUUGGGUACUUUCAGGACCCGUCUUGAAACACGGACCAAGGAGUCUAGCAUGCGCGCGAGUCAUUGGGAAUUUAAUAAACCUAAAGGCGUAAUGAAAGUAAAAGUUCGUCUCGCACGAACCUAGGGAAGAUGAACGGUUUUUUUGUGGACCGUUCCGCAUUCCCGGGGCGUCUCGUUCUCAUCGCGAGAAGAGGCGCACCAAGAGCGUACACGCUGGGACCCGAAAGAUGGUGAACUAUGCCUGGUCAGGACGAAGUCAGGGGAAACCCUGAUGGAGGUCCGUAGCGAUUCUGACGUGCAAAUCGAUCGUCGGAACUGGGUAUAGGGGCGAAAGACUAAUCGAACCAUC